AGAUUAAACUGAAGAGUUUGAUCAUGGCUCAGAUUGAACGCUGGCGGCAGGCUUAACACAUGCAAGUCGAGCGGUAACAGAU
rnacentral:rRNA from 1 species